rnacentral:rRNA from 1 species
GUGGGGAAUCUUGCGCAAUGGGCGAAAGCCUGACGCAGCCAUGCCGCGUGGAUGAUGAAGGUCUUAGGAUUGUAAAAUCCUUUCACCGGUGAAGAUAAUGACUGUAGCCGGAGAAGAAGCCCCGGCUAACUUCGGGCCAGCAGCCGCGGUAAUACGAAGGGGGCUAGCGUUGCUCGGAUUUACUGGGCGUAAAGGGCGCGUAGGCGGACAUUUAAGUCAGGGGUGAAAUCCCGGGGCUCAACCUCGGAACUGCCUUUGAUACUGGAUGUCUUGAGUGUGAGAGAGGUGUGUGGAACUCCGAGUGUAGAGGUGAAAUUCGUAGAUAUUCGGAAGAACACCAGUGGCGAAGGCGACACACUGGCUCAUUACUGACGCUGAGGCGCGAAAGCGUGGGGAGCAAACAGGAUUAGAAACCCGUGUAGUCC